UACGGAGGGUGCGAGCGUUAAUCGGAAUUACUGGGCGUAAAGGGCGCGUAGGCGGCCGAUCAAGUCAGAUGUGAAAGCCCACGGCUUAACCGUGUGAAGUGCAUCUGAAACUGGUCGGCUUGAGUGUCGGAGAGGAAAGUGGAAUUCCCGGUGUAGAGGUGAAAUUCGUAGAUAUGUGGAGGAACACCAAUGGCGAAGGCAGCCCCU
rnacentral:rRNA from 1 species